CAAACCUCCAAUGGACAAAAAUGGAAGCCGCUAUAUUUAAACUCCCCAUCCAUACGAUCCCGUAGCAAAGGGCUCACCCCAAGCAGCUGCUCCUUGACCACGACACACAUCCCACGAUACCUCCCACAUUCAAGACAUGGGAUAGACUGCGUGAAAAUCUCAACAUAUCCCCACACCCAUCCCCACUAUACCCAAUCACCCACAACCCGCACUUCCAACCGGGACUGAUUGCCGCAAACUACCGAGGCUUCCGAGAUACCUAUGAUCAGACGUACCUUACUCUAGGAUCUAUUCUAGAUGGUGAUUCACUUCGUCCGCUAUCAGACCUCAUACACUCGACUGCUCCAUCUACAAUGCAAACAUUUCAC